UACGUAGGUGGCGAGCGUUGUCCGGAUUUACUGGGCGUAAAGGGAGCGUAGGCGGACUUUUAAGUGAGAUGUGAAAUACCCGGGCUCAACUUGGGUGCUGCAUUUCAAACUGGAAGUCUAGAGUGCAGGAGAGGAGAAUGGAAUUCCUAGUGUAGCGGUGAAAUGCGUAGAGAUUAGGAAGUACACCAGUGGCGAAGGCGAUUCUCUGGACUGUAACUGACGCUGAGGCUCGAAAGCGUGGGGAGCAAACAGGAUUAGAUACCCCGGUAGU
rnacentral:rRNA from 1 species